UUAGGCAGCACAUACACAUACUAACAUUGGGACGAUACAGAGAAGAUCAGCACGGCCCCUGCGCCACAAGAUGAUGCACAAAUUUGUGAGGUGUUCCAUAAAAAA